rnacentral:rRNA from 1 species
GUGGGGAAUAUUGGACAAUGGGGGCAACCCUGAUCCAGCCAUGCCGCGUGAAUGAUGAAGGCCUUCGGGUUGUAAAGUUCUUUUGGAGGGGACGAUGAUGACGGUACCCUCAGAAUAAGCUCCGGCUAACUUCGUGCCAGCAGCCGCGGUAAUACGAAGGGAGCUAGCGUUGUUCGGAAUUACUGGGCGUAAAGGGCGCGUAGGCGGUUUGGUUAGUCAGAUGUGAAAGCCCAGGGCUUAACCCUGGAACUGCGUUUGAUACUGCCAAGCUUGAAUUCGGGAGAGGUGAGUGGAAUUCCGAGUGUAGAGGUGAAAUUCGUAGAUAUUCGGAGGAACACCAGUGGCGAAGGCGGCUCACUGGCUCGAUACUGACGCUGAGGUGCGAAAGCGUGGGGAGCAAACAGGAUUAGAAACCCCGGUAGUCC